rnacentral:tRNA from 1 species
ACUUAAAUAGUUUAUUUAAAAUGUUAAUUUGUGGUAUUAAGGAAGUAUUAAUUACUUUAAGUU